rnacentral:sRNA from 1 species
CACACGUGAGGCAUGGGAUUAUCCGGGAGACAUCCGGAUCGUUCCGCCGGUGGGCGCAAUCAAGAAUGCGCUCUACGCCUUGCGGAGGUUCAACCGGAAAAGGAGAAAAAGG